rnacentral:rRNA from 2 species
GACGAACCGUGCAAACGUUGUUCGGAAUCACUGGGCUUAAAGGGCGCGUAGGCGGGCCAUCCAGUCCGGGGUGAAAUCUUUCGGCUUAACCGGAAAAGUGCCUUGGAUACUGAUGGCCUCGAGCGAGGUAGGGGCAGGCGGAACUUCCGGUGGAGCGGUGAAAUGCGUUGAUAUCGGAAGGAACUCCGGUGGCGAAAGCGGCCUGCUGGACCUUUUCUGACGCUGAGGCGCGAAAGCUAGGGGAGCAAACGGG